rnacentral:miRNA from 1 species
GCUAUUGUUAUCUGGAACCAUGGUUCCUGCAGGAAAACAGUGGUUGGUGGGGCCUGAACCCACAGCACCACUUCUGAAGUCACCGUGAAUUCCACC